UACAGAGGGUGCUAGCGUUACUCGGAAUUACUGGGCGUAAAGCGUGCGUAGGUGGUUUGUUAAGUCUGUUGUGAAAGCCCCGGGCUCAACCUGGGAAUGGCAAUGGAUACUGGCAAGCUAGAGUGCGGUAGAGGGUAGUGGAAUUCCCGGUGUAGCGGUGAAAUGCGUAGAGAUCGGGAGGAACACCAGUGGCGAAGGCGGCUACCUGGACCAGCACUGACACUGAGGCACGAAAGCGUGGGGAGCAAACAGG
rnacentral:rRNA from 1 species